AAGAAAAUCAUGCUCUGCAUUUGGUGGGAUCAGGUCGGCGUCGUAUAUUUUGAGCUGCUCCAACCGGGCGAAACAAUCACGGGGGAUCGUUACCGACUGCAAUUGAUGCGUUUAAGCCGGGCAUUGAAAGAAAAACGGCCGGAAACGGUAAAAAGGCACGACAAGGUUAUUUUGCAACAUGACAACGCUCGGCCGCAUGUUGCUCAACCUGUCAAAAAAUACCUUGGAACGCUUGGCUGGGAAGUGUUACCCCUUCCGCCGUAUAGUCCAGACAUAGCUCCCUCCAAUUAUCAUUUGUUCCGGCAUAUGAGUCUCGAUUUGGCGGACCAGCGGUUCUCCUCGUACGAGGCUACCAAAACAUGGGUUGAGUCAUGGAUAGCCAAGCAGCGGCCAGAAUUUUGGAGAAACGGCAUCCGGAAAUUGCCCGAAAAAUGGGCGAAAGUUGUAGCUAGCGAUGGCCAAUACUUCGAAUAAAAUAUUUUGUACCGUUUUUUCACAAUAAAGCCCCAAAUCUUCGAAAAAAAACCUUUAAAACUAAUUCAACCUCCAAUAAUUUUAGUAAGUUUUCCAAAAUGAUGUCCCACAUUUUAAAACUAAAAACAUUAACACUAAUAGUUAUUAAAUAAUGAACAAAUAAUAAUAUGAUCGAUACGUAUAAUAAAUGAAACGCAUGCCAUAUUUGAAAUGGCAUAUAAUCGCGAUUAAUUAUGUUGAUGAAAGACCGCAUACGAAGAUUUUUCGCACUAGCGCUUAUGGGAAUUUUCUGCUUACCGACGUCCAAGGCAUAUUGACGUAUUGGCAUAUUACAUAUAUACAUAAGUAAUACAGACGAUUGUAUUCACUUUUUUUAGAUAAAGAGGCAUAACUUCAUUUAAUACACCACAUAUUAUUUUUAUUGCCAAAAUAGCAACACAGAAAUACCCUUCAUGCGCAACGAAACUAAUCAGUUAUUCCUAAGCACAUUGACACUACUAAAAAAUAGUACGAUUUAAUUGAUCUUGCGCAGGCGAAGCGGGACGCAAUUAACAAAAAAAAAGCAAACAUAACGGUACUUUUCCUGUUAAAGAAGAUAGUCAUUACAAAAAACUUCUUGGCUAGUUAGAAAUGUGUACUGAGAGAUAAUUUAUGGGAAAAUCGAUAUACUGCUAGCACGUGAAAAGAGCUGGCAAAAAUUACACCUCAUUCAUACAGGGCAAUUUAUAUGUAUUACGCUUCAACAAGUUGGGGACGAGUUGAGAAUCAUAAAUUGGAAAAAAAUUAUUGAAAAUAAAAUAUUAUGGUAAACUCAUGGACAAAGAAAUAUUUGAAUAGUUAUUAUAAGUUUUCGCCAAAACCCAGCGGAAUUUGCUGCAACAAGUAAAGCAAGUUCUAUCUUCAAAAGCAGCAACAACAACUUACAAUAUUAUGUUACUGCUAUUCGAGAAUUUCGACAAAAAUAAGGAAACUAAAUAUAUAGUCAAGUGUGUGGAAAUGAAAAGAAUAUUUGCAAAUAAAACAUUAUGAGAUCUGCUCAUAAAAUCUGUCUACUCAUUAUUAGUGUCAUAGAUUGUUCGUAAAAACCCAGCAGAGCUCAAUAUGAAGAGUUGGUAGCAAAACUAAAAAAGCAUGUGUAUUCUAAGAAAGACAUUUUUCUAGCUCAAUUCAUUAGAAGAACCCAAGAUAACACAAUCCGCGAACAGCUCAUUCUGGCAGAAUAUUUAAGAAAAUUGUUUGGGAAAAACACUAUCUUUAGAAGCAUUCAACAUAUGUACAUAGAUAGCCGUGAACUCAAUGCAAAAUUACAAAGUGCUAUAAAUGAUGUCAACAAAAUACUCGCAGGUAUAAAUCGUAGUAGAAGGCCGCGGAUACAUUCAAUAAUAAUCAAAAUUAAACUUGAGGCAAAUAGGUAUCGGAAACUUAUGCAUACGAAGCGGAAGAGAGAAUCACAAAACAAAGGAAUGUCACGUAAAGCGGCAUAACCUCAUAUAAAAUUCGCGCCACGCUGCUGCGUAUGUUUGGAACCAAUAAUGCCAGAAACCGGUGAAGAAGAAACUGUACGUGUCGUAGCGUUAGAUCGCAGUUUUCACUUCGGAUGUUAUAAAUGUGAAGACUGUGGUUUGUUGUUAUCGUCAGAAGCCGAGGGUCGUGGAUGCUAUCCUCUGGACGGACAUGUACUCUGUAAAAGUUGUAAUGCAAAACGUGUGCAAAUGCUAACAAGUCGCAUGGCAACAGAGUUAUAAACAAACUUAUUACUGUGACAUAUUAUGAAUAUUAUGUAUAAUUUCUACACUCGUAUGUAAAAUUAAAAUAAAUAAAAGUUCGUUUGGUUUGCUGACUUUUUAAAACCA